GUAGGUGGCAAGCGUUGUCCGGAAUUAUUGGGCGUAAAGCGCGCGCAGGCGGUUCUUUAAGUCUGAUGUGAAAGCCCACGGCUCAACCGUGGAGGGUCAUUGGAAACUGGAGAACUUGAGUACAGAAGAGGAAAGCGGAAUUCCACGUGUAGCGGUGAAAUGCGUAGAGAUGUGGAGGAACACCAGUGGCGAAGGCGGCUUUCUGGUCUGUAACUGACGCUGAGGCGCGAAAGCGUGGGGAGCAAACAGGGAUUAGAUACCCUGGUAGUCCACGCCGUAAACGAUGAGUGCUAAGUGUUAGGGGGUUUUCGCCCCCUUAGUGCUGCAGCUAACGCAUUAAGCACUCCGCCUGGGGAGUACGGCCGCAAGGCUA
rnacentral:rRNA from 1 species